rnacentral:lncRNA from 10 species
AGAACAAAAGGCUGACCUCCAGAGUUUGAGACCAGCCUGGGCAACAAAGCAAGACCCCUAUGUCUACCAAAAAAAAAAAAUUAAAAAUUAGCCAAGUAGCACAAGCCUAUAUUCCCAGUUACUGGGGAGGCAGAGGCAGGAGGGUCACUCGAGUCCAGGAGUUUGAUUGCGCCACUGCACUCCAACUUGGGCAACAGAGGAGACCCUGUCUCAAAAAAAAUAAAAUAAAAAAAAAAUUGCUGAACUCUCUCAAGCAAGAGCAAAUUCCCCAUCAGACUGCCUGCCUUCAGACUUCGUCUGCAACACUGGCCCUUCCUGAUUUUUCACCAGACUGUCCUUGGACUCAAACUGUAAUUUUUUCCUGAGCCCCCAGCCUGAUGGCCUCCCGCAUCAGAUGUUGGACUCACCAAGCCUCCACAAUUAUAUGAGCCCAUUCUCUAAAGGUCUUGCUGUCCACUCCAGGCUGGAGUGCAGUGGUGCAAUCUCAGCUUACUACGGCCUCCACCUCCUGGGCUCAAGCAAUCCUCCCACCUCAGCCUCCUGAGUAGCUGAGACUACAGACAUGUCCUGCCAUACCCAGUCUUUUUUUUUUUCCAUUUUUUGUAGCGACAGGAUCUUGCUGUUUCCCGAACUCAUCUAGAACACCUGGGCUGAAGCAACCCUCCCUCCUCAGCCUCCCAAAGCACUUGGAUUACAGGCUUGAGCCACUGUGCCUGGCCAGGAAUAAAUUUCUAACCCAUCCCAUGACUCCCAGCAGAAGGAAAGUCUAAAUUUAGCCAUAGUUUCAGAAACAAUGCCCUUACAUGACGUGAAAUAAACAGGUCUUUAAGAGAGAGGUGCCAGCUCCUCGUUCGUGGAUGCAUUUGUCCACCUAGGAAUAGACACACGCUGCACAUUUCCUGCAUGCUGGGCUCUGUAAGGAGGAAGGGAGAGGCCCCUGCUUGGAGAAGCUUUCCAUCCAACAGAUGUGGAUGCUACCUAUGCCACCAGUGUCAAACAUAACUUCAGGAUCACAGAAGAGGCCGAGAGUGCUAAAAGGUCACGCUGGAAUGAAGCAUAUGAGGUAAUAUUAAGAGAAGUAGCGAGAGUCGGUGCUAGGGUCUGAAUGUCUGUGUCUCUCCCGAAAUUCAGACAUUGAAACCUAAUCCUCAAGGUGAUGGUAUUAGGAAGUGGGGAAUUUGGGAGGUGAUUAAGUCAUGAGGGCAGGGGUCUUGUGAAUGGGAUGAGCAUCCUUAUAAAAGAGACCCCAGAGAGCUGCCUGGUCCCUUCCACCAGGUGAGAACAUAGCAAGAAGCUACCAUCUGUGCACCAGGAAAUGGGCCCUCACAAGACAUCAAAUCUGCCAGCCACCUCAAUGGUGGGCUUUCCAGCCUCCAGAACUGUGAGAAAUAAAUUUCUGUUUUUAUAAGCCACCUGGUUUAUGGUAUUUUGUUACAGCAACCUAAACAGACUAAGACAAUUGGCAAGAUCAGAUGUAUUUGGCAAAGAUUUGCAUAGACUAGAGUCCCGCUGUGUGGCUGGAGCAAGGGAAGCUUGCGCUGUGCCUCAGGUUGAUCCAGUCCUUACCUUGUGGCCUUGCCCGAUCCUCACAGCACCCCUCGGUGGUGAGAAUGAUUAUCUCCAUUCUAUGGAUGAGGAUAUGGAUAACCAGAGAGGUUAAGUGAACAGCCUCAGAUCACACAGCCAAUUCAAGUCAGGGCUGCUGCAGAGAGCCUGAAACAGGGGGAUCCUGGGAGGGAAGGAAGAGCAUGCAUCCUCUCACCCAAAACAGAUGUCUGGCUGAGUUCCAAAAGCAAAAGUACUCUGAGUGGGUCCCACCCCUGAUGGGGAAGGCAGCCCCCUGGCCACCAGCCUGGGGAGGCCACACAGUUGCUGCUAUCCCAUGGGCAGCUGGCCCCUUCCUCCCACAAACAGCAGCACCUGCUCACCAGAUCACCAGGCAGAGGCAAGAUGAAUGUUCGCAGCACCACGUCCUGCUGAAGCUCUACACAAACACAGCACCCAUGGCAACCAAACAGAGGGCAAACACAGGAGCAGGAAUGCCGCUGUGAGAACAAGGCCCAGGAGUGACAGCCACGAGCCACCCACUUUAUGGGCACUUACUAAGUGCCAGGCGCCACAUCAAGGAUUAAAUACCUUAUUUAAUCAUCGAUGCAGCCUGAUGAGGAAUGUGCCAUUGCUGCCCGCUUUAACAACAACGAAACAGACAUGAGCAGAGUUGAUGGAAGCUGUGUAAGGAGAGAACCAAAGGCUCUGUCUGAGCCCGGGUGUCUGAUGCCACAACCCAGCCACAAUCUCCAUGCUACCAUUUCCCCUGACAGACACCGAAGUAACACAGCCCCUCGGGAGAGCUGGGCCCCCAAGUUAGGGACAGGUAAAUGGCGACACAGAAUAUAAGCUCCUCCAAGGCAGGAAUUUUGUGUUUUGCUCAUUGAUGGGAAGCAAGCUUCUACAAUAGUGCCAGGCAGGUGGAUGACUUUGAAUAAGUAUUUGUUGGCCAGGGGCGGUGGCUCACACUUGAAAUCCUUGCACUUUGGGAGGCUGAGGCAGGUGGGUUGCUUGAGCCCAGGGGAUUGAGACCAGCCUGGGCAGCAUGGUGAAACCCUGUCUCUACAAAAAAUACACACAAAAAAAUUAACCAAGCAUGGUGGCGGUUGCCUGUAGUCCCAGCUGCUUGGGAGUCU